GUUCAUGGACCAGUGCCUAUCUACCUGGUUGGCUGAGAUUAAAAUGAGUAAUAGAUCCUCCUUGCCAUCAGGAUGGCUCCUAAUGCAUUUUUCAUUAAAUUGAACUCCCACUUGGGUCCUCUUUCUGAGGUUCAGACAGAGGGAAAUGAUUUACUUGCCUGUCUACUUCCUCUUCAUAUGUAACCUCUUCUCUGAAUGUGGUGAAACUUUAACGGCCAAGGAGUUGGAUGAUUAACAUUAACGGGAGUUGCCUGUGUUAAUCCCUUGUGCAUAA
rnacentral:lncRNA from 1 species